CAAAAACAUCGCCUCUUGCCAACACACAAGUAUAAGAGGUCCAGCCUGCCCAGUGACAAAUUGUUCAACGGCCGCGGUAUUCUGACCGUGCAAAGGUAGCGCAAUCACUUGUCUUUUAAAUAAAGACUAGUAUGAAAGGCACCACGAAGAUUCAACUGUCUCUCUUAUCCAGUCAGUGAAACUGAUCUCCCCGUGCAGAAGCGGGGAUAAACACACAAGACGAGAAGACCCUAUGGAGCUUAAAACAUAAGCAACUGCUAUCCAAUAAACAUCAAAAGACUAAAACUCUAAUCAGGCGGAAAUGACUCAAUGUUUUCGGUUGGGGCGACCACGGAGAACAAAACAUCCUCCGAGAAGAAUAGGACACAAUCCUAAAAAGAACAACAGCUCUAAAUAUCAGAACAUCUGACUUUUUUGAUCCAGUAUAACUGAUCAACGAACCAAGUUACCCUAGGGAUAACAGCGCAAUCUACUUAAAAAGUUCAUAUCGACAAGUAGGUUUACGACCUCGAUGUUGGAUCAGGGCGCCCCAGUGGUGCAGCCGCUACUAACGGUUCGUUUGUUCAACGAUUAAAGCCCU
rnacentral:rRNA from 1 species